rnacentral:rRNA from 1 species
UGGGGAAUUUUGGACAAUGGGCGAAAGCCUGAUCCAGCAAUGCCGCGUGUGUGAAGAAGGCCUUCGGGUUGUAAAGCACUUUUGUCCGGAAAGAAAUCCUUGGCUCUAAUACAGUCGGGGGAUGACGGUACCGGAAGAAUAAGCACCGGCUAACUACGUGCCAGCAGCCGCGGUAAUACGUAGGGUGCAAGCGUUAAUCGGAAUUACUGGGCGUAAAGCGUGCGCAGGCGGUUUGCUAAGACCGAUGUGAAAUCCCCGGGCUCAACCUGGGAACUGCAUUGGUGACUGGCAGGCUAGAGUAUGGCAGAGGGGGGUAGAAUUCCACGUGUAGCAGUGAAAUGCGUAGAGAUGUGGAGGAAUACCGAUGGCGAAGGCAGCCCCUGGGCAAUACUGACGCUCAUGCACGAAAGCGUGGGGAGCAAACAGGAUUAGAUACCCUGGUAG